rnacentral:rRNA from 1 species
GACGAACGCUGGCGGCGUGCUUAACACAUGCAAGUCGAACGGAAAGGCCCUGCUUUUGUGGGGUGCUCGAGUGGCGAACGGGGGAGUAACACGUGAGUAACCUGCCCUUGACUUUGGGAUAACUUCAGGAAACUGGGGCUAAUACCGGAUAGGAGCUCCUGCUGCAUGGUGGGGGUUGGAAAGUUUCGGCGGUUGCGGAUGGACUCGCGGCUGAUCAGCUUGUUGGUGGGGGAGUGGCUGACCAAGGCUUUGACGGGUAGCCGGCCUGAGAGGGUGACCGGCCACAUUGGGACUGAGAUACGGCCCAGACUCCUACGGGGGGCAGCAGUGGGGAAUAUUGCACAAUGGGCGGAAGCCUGAUGCAGCAACGCCGCGUGCGGGAUGACGGCCUUCGGGUUGUAAACCGCUUUCGCCUGUGACGAAGCGUGAGUGACGGUAAUGGGUAAAGAAGCACCGGCUAACUACGUG